AGAGUUUGAUCAUGGCUCAGGACGAACGCUGGCGGCGUGCUUAACACAUGCAAGUCGAACGAGAUUGAGCCGAGCCUUCGGGCAAAGCGAAGAUCGAGUGGCGAACGGGUGCGUAACACGUGAGGAACCUGCCCCGGACUUGGGAAUAACAGUCGGAAACGGCUGCUAAUACCGAAUACCUUCGCAGCGUCGCAUGGCGCAACGAAGAAAGCUUUUGCGGUCUGGGAGGGCCUCGCGGCCUAUCAGCUAGUUGGCGAGGUAACGGCUCACCAAGGCAUCGACGGGUAGCUGGUCUGAGAGGAUGAUCAGCCACACUGGGACUGAGACACGGCCCAGACUCCUACGGGAGGCAGCAGUGGGGAAUAUUGCACAAUGGGCGAAAGCCUGAUGCAGCAACGCCGCGUGCGGGAAGAAGGCCUUAGGGUUGUAAACCGCUUUCAGCAGGGAAGAAACUGACGGUACCUGCAGAAGAAGGUGCGGCCAACUACGUGCCAGCAGCCGCGGUGACACGUAGGCACCAAGCGUUGUCCGGAUUUAUUGGGCGUAAAGAGCUCGUAGGCGGUUCAGUAAGUCGGGUGUGAAAACUCUGGGCUCAACCCAGAGACGCCACCCGAUACUGCUGUGACUUGAGUACGGUAGGGGAGUGGGGAAUUCCUGGUGUAGCGGCGAAAUGCGCAGAUAUCAGGAGGAACACCAGUGGCGAAGGCGCCACUCUGGGCCGUAACUGACGCUGAGGAGCGAAAGCGUGGGUAGCAAACAGGAUUAGAUACCCUAGUAGUCC
rnacentral:rRNA from 1 species